rnacentral:rRNA from 1 species
AGUGAACGCUGGCGGUAGGCCUAACACAUGCAAGUCGAACGGCAGCACAGUAAGAGCUUGCUCUUACGGGUGGCGAGUGGCGGACGGGUGAGGAAUACAUCGGAAUCUACUUUUUCGUGGGGGAUAACGUAGGGAAACUUACGCUAAUACCGCAUACGACCUACGGGUGAAAGCAGGGGAUCUUCGGACCUUGCGCGAUUGAAUGAGCCGAUGUCGGAUUAGCUAGUUGGCGGGGUAAAGGCCCACCAAGGCGACGAUCCGUAGCUGGUCUGAGAGGAUGAGCAGCCACACGGGAACUGAGACACGGUCCAGACUCCUACGGGAGGCAGCAGUGGGGAAUAUUGGACAUUGGGCGCAAGCCUGAUCCAGCCAUACCGCGUGGGUGAAGAAGGCCGUCGGGUUGUAAAGCCCUCUUGUUGGGAAAGAAAAGCGGCAGGUUAAUACCCCGCUGUUCUGACGGUACCCAAAGAAUAAGCACCGGCUAACUUCGUG